AAAGUACUCCCUCCGUCCCAAAAUUCUUGUCUUAGAUUUGUCUAGAUAUGGAUGUAUCAAGUCACAUUUUAGUAUUAGAUACAUCUGUAUCUAGACAAAUUUAAGACAAGAAAUUUGGGACAGAGGGAGUAGUUG
rnacentral:pre_miRNA from 1 species